CCUACGGGAGGCAGCAGUGGGGAAUAUUGGACAAUGGGCGCAAGCCUGAUCCAGCCAUACCGCGUGGGUGAAGAAGGCCUUCGGGUUGUAAAGCCCUUUUGUUGGGAAAGAAAAGCAGUCGAUUAAUACUCGGUUGUUCUGACGGUACCCAAAGAAUAAGCACCGGCUAACUUCGUGCCAGCAGCCGCGGUAAUACGAAGGGUGCAAGCGUUACUCGGAAUUACUGGGCGUAAAGCGUGCGUAGGUGGUUGUUUAAGUCUGUUGUGAAAGCCCUGGGCUCAACCUGGGAAUUGCAGUGGAUACUGGGCGACUAGAGUGUGGUAGAGGGUAGUGGAAUUCCCGGUGUAGCAGUGAAAUGCGUAGAGAUCGGGAGGAACAUCCAUGGCGAAGGCAGCUACCUGGACCAACACUGACACUGAGGCACGAAAGCGUGGGGAGCAAACAGGAUUAGAUACCCUGGUAGUCCACGCCCUAAACGAUGCGAACUGGAUGUUGGGUGCAAUUUGGCACGCAGUAUCGAAGCUAACGCGUUAAGUUCGCCGCCUGGGGGAGGUACGGUCGUCGAGACGUUAGAACGUACGAAAGAAGUUAGACGGCGNGAGACGNGCGACGGACGACGACGAGGGAGGAGG
rnacentral:rRNA from 1 species